rnacentral:rRNA from 1 species
CCUACGGGGUGCUGCAGUGGGGAAUAUUGGACAAUGGGCGAAAGCCUGAUCCAGCCAUGCCGCGUGUGUGAAGAAGGCCUUCGGGUUGUAAAGCACUUUCAGUGGGGAAGAAAGCCUUGGGGCUAAUACCCUCGAGGAAGGACAUCACCCACAGAAGAAGCACCGGCUAACUCCGUGCCAGCAGCCGCGGUAAUACGGAGGGUGCGAGCGUUAAUCGGAAUUACUGGGCGUAAAGCGCGCGUAGGCGGUCUGAUAAGCCGGUUGUGAAAGCCCCGGGCUCAACCUGGGAACGGCAUCCGGAACUGUCAGGCUAGAGUGCAGGAGAGGAAGGUAGAAUUCCCGGUGUAGCGGUGAAAUGCGUAGAGAUCGGGAGGAAUACCAGUGGUGAAGGCGGCCUUCUGGACUGACACUGACGCUGAGGUGCGAAAGCGUGGGUAGCAAACAGGAUUAGAUACCCCAGUAGUC